CUCUUCUCUUAUUUUCCUUUCUGCUCAUGUAAACACCCAAAGCUCUAGCUACACCACAUUCGAAUCAAGAGCUUAACAUACUACAAUGGUGGAAACCUAGAGUUGUUGGUUAGAACAAUGUAAACUGAGCCUCCUCUUCAAGAUUUUCAACUUACCAAUGAAAAUUCUACUCUUUGUAAGCAAGGAAAAUUUUAUUUAUCGAAAUCUCAUUAUGGUAGUUUCCACUACCAUUAUCCACCUGGAAUGAGAGAAGUUGUAACAAGACCAGGAAUAGCGAUUUAGGAUGAUGAUGAAGGCUAAGGAUAUGGUCAACUCGAAGAAAGAACAGAUUUAGUGAUGACCUACUCAGAGAUAGUGGAGAUUAGAAAGACGCCUUAGUGUUUUAUUUGUUAAGGCAUUUUUAGACAAAACUACUUAUGCCAAAGUGUAAAAAGGAGUUUGACACUCCAUUACUAUGAAAUGUGAUUUAAAGCUAUGAAUGAAAUUGGGAU